CUGCCCAGAGCCCAGUUCUGUCACCCACGAGGCAUAUGACCUGUAUCAAGUAUCGAACCUCUGCACCUUUACUUUUUCCUUUAUAAAACAAGGAUGGUAAUAGUAUGUCACAGGCUUGUUGAGAGGAUUCAAUGAGAUUAUUUGUAGGAAGUCCACACUAAGUGCUCGGUAAGCACCGCUGUUGGGACUAUUUGAGAGGAGUGGGAGAUUAUCGGAGCUGUGUUUCAAGAUAGUGAAGCAGGGAACAGGUGCAGGAUGGAUUAUCCCAAAGCGAAUCUAGUUAAGAGGUCAUUGCAAUAUCCAGGCAUGAGAGGAUAGGGCCUAAAUUAGGGGAAUGAUUGGGGCCUGAAGCGGAGAUCAGUGCAAAACAGGUGGUUCAUGAAGAAGCAACCAACAGAACUGAUUGGCUGUGGUGGAGGGGAAGGUCAGAGGAGGGGGGAGGAGAAAACUCAGAACUCCUUUGUGCCUCUGAGAGCGAGGGUGCCUGGGUAGGAGAUGGCACCCCCAGGAGGGACGACGGACGUCUAAAGAAGGAGCAGGAGUUCACAUCCACCCUCAGGUCUGCGUGGCAAGAUGGCAGAGGGAGACCACAGGAGGCCUGGUGUGCAGCCGACAGAGCACUGCAAACCCAAACGUCACGUCCCCUGACUCCUCUCAGACAUUGAUUAAGUGCCAGGCAGCAUGCAGGAGGCAAACUGCUAGGACUGGAGGACUGGAUCGAUGAGGAAGAUAUGGUGUUCCUGCUCUUGGGAAGCCCACAGACAUUUCCAUAAACAGCUACAAACAACUUGGAACGUCGUAUGAUAAAGGCAUGUGUGUUAUGUA